rnacentral:rRNA from 1 species
UACGUAGGGUGCAAGCGUUAUCCGGAUUCACUGGGUUUAAAGGGUGCGUAGGAGGGCAGGUAAGUCAGUGGUGAAAUCUCCAAGCUUAACUUGGAAACUGCCGUUGAUACUAUCUGUCUUGAAUACCGUGGAGGUGAGCGGAAUAUGUCAUGUAGCGGUGAAAUGCUUAGAUAUGACAUAGAACACCAAUUGCGAAGGCAGCUCGCUACACGAAUAUUGACGCUGAGGCACGAAAGCGUGGGGAUCAAACAGG